UACGUAGGGGGCAAGCGUUGUCCGGAUUUAUUGGGCGUAAAGAGCUCGUAGGCGGUUCGAUAAGUCGGACGUGAAAUCUCCACGCUCAACGUGGAGGGGCCGUUCGAUACUGUCGUGACUCGAGUCCGGUAGGGGAGUGUGGAAUUCCCGGUGUAGCGGUGAAAUGCGCAGAGAUCGGGAGGAACACCCGUAGCGAAGGCGGCACUCUGGGCCGGUACUGACGCUGAGGAGCGAAAGCGUGGGGAGCAAAC
rnacentral:rRNA from 1 species